UGGGGAAUAUUGCACAAUGGGCGCAAGCCUGAUGCAGCCAUGCCGCGUGUAUGAAGAAGGCCUUCGGGUUGUAAAGUACUUUCAGUCGGGAGGAAGGUGUCAAGGUUAAUAACCUUGGCAAUUGACGUUACCGACAGAAGAAGCACCGGCUAACUCCGUGCCAGCAGCUGCGGUAAUACGGAGGGUGCAAGCGUUAAUCGGAAUUACUGGGCGUAAAGCGCACGCAGGCGGUUGAUUGAGUCAGAUGUGAAAUCCCCGGGCUUAACCCGGGAAUUGCAUCUGAUACUGGUCAGCUAGAGUCUUGUAGAGGGGGGUAGAAUUCCAUGUGUAGCGGUGAAAUGCGUAGAGAUGUGGAGGAAUACCGGUGGCGAAGGCGGCCCCCUGGACGAAGACUGACGCUCAGGUGCGAAAGCGUGGGGAGCAAACAGG
rnacentral:rRNA from 1 species